rnacentral:rRNA from 1 species
CCUGAUGCAGCCAUGCCGCGUGUGUGAAGAAGGCCUUCGGGUUGUAAAGUCAGUAGGGAGGAAGGUAGUGUAGUUAACACCUGCAUUAUUUGACGUUACCUACAGAAGAAGCACCGGCUAACUCCGUGCCAGCAGCCGCGGUAAUACGGAGGGUGCGAGCGUUAAUCGGAAUUACUGGGCGUAAAGCGCAUGCAGGCGGCCUGUUAAGUCAGAUGUGAAAGCCCGGGGCUUAACCUCGGAAUUGCAUUUGAAACUGGCAGGCUAGAGUCUUGUAGAGGGGGGUAGAAUUUCAGGUGUAGCGGUGAAAUGCGUAGAGAUCUGAAGGAAUACCAGUGGCGAAGGCGGCCCCCUGGACAAAGACUGACGCUCAGAUGCGAAAGCGUGGGGAGCAAACAGGAUUAGAUACCCUGGUAGUCCACGCCGUAAACGAUGUCUCUUGGUUGUGGCCUUGAGCCGUGGCUUUCGGAGCUACGCGUUAAGUAGCCGC